rnacentral:rRNA from 1 species
UACGUAGGGGGCAAGCGUUGUCCGGAAUCAUUGGGCGUAAAGCGCGUGUAGGCGGCCCGAUAAGUCCGCUGUGAAAGUCCAGGGCUCAACCCUGGAAUGCCGGUGGAUACUGUCGGGCUCGAGUCCGGAAGAGGCGAGUGGAAUUCCUGGUGUAGCGGUGAAAUGCGCAGAUAUCAGGAGGAACACCAAUGGCGAAGGCAGCUCGCUGGGACGGUACUGACGCUGAGGCGCGAAAGCCAGGGGAGCAAACGGG